rnacentral:rRNA from 1 species
ACGUAGGGGACAAGCGUUGUUCGGAAUUACUGGGCGUAAAGGGCAUGUAGGCGGUUUAGUAAGCUUGGCGUGAAAGACCACAGCUCAACUGUGGGGUUGCGUUGAGAACUGCUGAACUUGAGUUACGGAGAGGGAGCUAGAAUUCCUGGUUUAGGGGUGAAAUCUUAGGAAUUCAGAAAGAAUACCGAUGCGGAGGGCAGCUUCUGGCCGAUAACUGACGCUGAGGUGCGAAAGUGUGGGGAUCAAACAG